rnacentral:lncRNA from 1 species
CUAAAUCAUGAGUACCCAGAGCGUCCAACAGAUGAAUGGGCUCCAUCUCAUUUGCAUAUCACCAUGACUCAAGAAUUCCCUGGUACUGUAUCCCCAGGCAGACGAAAGCAGAUUCGGUUGAUCAGUCCAGGGCCUUCCCUGCCAAGAUACUGGAUUGGAAGCCUUCCCUCCACUCAGCUGAUGAGACUCGAAGUCUCUUCUUGUGACAGAAUGGUCUAGUUUAGCCUUUUGAAGCGUGAAGUUUCUAAGCACGGCCCCACUCAGAAAUGGAUGACCGCAUCCAAGUCACUGGUGGGGAGAGGAGAAUGGACGACGGACGAUGGAUGAUGGACAAUGGACACUUCACAGUGGCCAGCGAGUCUUACAAAGCUCAAGCUGGCCUCAAAUUCAUCAUGAAGUCAAGCAUGGCAUUAAAUGGCUCCUUCUGCCUCCAAGAACCCCCAGGUACCAGGAUGCCAGUACAUGAACCACAGAGCAUGGUAGAGCAAUGGCUUCAUGGAACCCACCAGGAGUGCUCCUGAUUCAGUGCUGCUAACCUCCCAGGAUUCAGUCCCAUUGCGGGCGGGCCUCGUGCUAAGCGAUCUCAACACUGACGUUACACACGAGGAAGGAGACAAAGAGUGUGGAUGUUCACGUCCAAGUCUCAAAAGCCAGAGGCUAUGGCUGUCUUCUAUAAUCCCGCAGCACAGCCCUGCUGUAUCACUGGGAAAUUAUGUGCUGGUGUCUCCCUUCAAAUAAAGUUUUAUUGAAAC